rnacentral:rRNA from 1 species
CGAGAAAGACUGGAGAAAUCUGGUCGAGUAAAGUGGCGCACGGGUGAGUAACACGUGAGAAACAUUCCCCUAUGUCUGGGAUAAGCCUGCGAAAGCGGGUCUAAUACCGGAUACAGCCACCUGGAGGCAUCUUCGGGUGAUUAAAGACGGUUGAGUCUAUGCCGUCGCAGAGGGAUUGUCUCGCGCUCCAUUAGCUUGAUGGCAGGGUAAUGGCCUACCAUGGCGACGAUGGAUAGCCGACCUGAGAGGGUGUCCGGCCACACUGGAACUGAGAUACGGUCCAGACUCCUACGGGAGGCAGCAGUAGGGAAUAUUGCGCAAUGGGCGAAAGCCUGACGCAGCGACGCCGCGUGGAUGAUGAAGCAUCUUGGUGUGUAAAAUCCUUUCAGCGGGGACGAAACGUCGGAUGAGGAAAUGCUUCCGGCCUGACGGUACCCGCAGAAGAAGUUCCGGCUAACUCCGUGCCAGCAGCCGCGGUAAUACGGGGGGAACGAGCGUUGUUCGGAUUUACUGGGUGUAAAGGGCACGCAGGCGGGAAGACAAGUCCGAUGUGCAAACCCGGGGCUUAACCGCGGGCCUGCAUUGGAAACUGUUUUUCUUGAGUACGAGAGAGGAUGGCGGAAUUCCUGGUGUAGCGGUGAAAUGCGUAGAUAUCAGGAAGAACACCGGUGGCGAAGGCGGCCAUCUGGCUCGAUACUGACGCUCAGGUGCGAAGGCUAGGGGAGCAAACAGGAUUAGAUACCCUGGUAGUCCUAGCGGUAAACCAUGGAUACUAGGUGUUGGAGGUAUCGACCCCUCCAG